GAUGUUGGCUUAGAAGCAGCCACUCAUUUAAAGAGUGCGUAAUAGCUCACUGGUCGAGUGAUUGUGCGCCGAAAAUGUACCGGGGCUAAACUGUGUACCGAAGUCUAGGGAUCGUGAUAAACGAUCGGUAGGGGAGCAACGUGUGCGGGCUGAAGCCGAAGCGGAAGCGACGGUGGACUGCACGGGAGAGAGAAUGCCGGCAUGAGUAGCGAGAGCAAAGUGAGAAUCUUUGCCGUCGAAAGCCUAAGGUUUCCUGAGGAAGGCUCGUCCUCUCAGGGUAAGUCAGGACCUAAGCCGAGGACAAAAGUCGUAGGCGAUGGACAACUGGUUGAUAUUCCAGUACCACCUUUAGCGUUUGACUGAAGCAGUGACACAGAAGGAUAGACAGAGCGCGUGACUGGUAGAGCGCGUCCAAGCGAUGAGGGAGUUAAGUAGUGAAGAACGCUUAACAAUCCUGGGUCGUGAUGGGGACUGAAAAUAAGUAGGGAAGCUGUUGAAUUCACGCUGGCGAGAAAAGCUGCUAAGGAGCGAAAGGGUGCCUGUACCGCAAACCGACACAGGUAGGCGAGGAGAGAAUCCUAAGACGAGCGGGAGAACCCAUGUUAAGGAACUCGGCAAAAUGACCCUGUAACUUCGGGAUAAAGGGAGCCACGAGAGUGGCCGCAGAGAAUAGGCCCAAGCGACUGUUUACCAAAAACACAGGUCUGUGCGAAGUAGAGAUACGACGUAUACGGGCUGACGCCUGCCCAGUGCCGGAAGGUUAAGGGGAAGUGUUAGGGCAACCGAAGCACGGAACUUAAGCCCCGGUGAACGGCGGCCGUAACUAUAACGGUCCUAAGGUAGCGAAAUUCCUUGUCGGGUAAGUUCCGACCCGCACGAAUGGCGUAACGACUUGGGCACUGUCUCAACAUGGGACCCGGCGAAAUUGUAGUAUGUGUGAAGAUGCACAUUACCCGCGAUAGGACGGAAAGACCCCGUAGAGCUUUACUGUAGUUUAACAUUGGAUUUCGGUAACAUAUGUACAGGAUAGGUGGGAGGCGAAGAACCAGGGACGCCAGUUUCUGGGGAGCCGACCUUGGGAUACCACUCUUGUGUUAUUGGAGUUCUAACGAAUUGCCGUGAACCGGGAUUCGGACAGUGUUAGAUGGGCAGUUUGACUGGGGCGGUCGCCUCCUAAAGAGUAACGGAGGCGUCCAAAGGUUCCCUCAGAAUGGUUGGAAACCAUUCGCAGAGUGUAAAGGCAGAAGGGAGCUUGACUGCGAGACCGACAGGUCGAGCAGGUGCGAAAGCAGGGCUUAGUGAUCCGGCGGUAUGAGAGUGGAAUUGCCGUCGCUCAACGGAUAAAAGCUACCUCGGGGAUAACAGGCUGAUCUCCCCCAAGAGUCCACAU
rnacentral:rRNA from 1 species